CUGAAAUCACCUCGGUUUGGAUGGCGCAUGCACACACCCUUGUCAUGGGUCCAAUUAAGCUUGGCGGUGAGUGCAUGGUUAUGUUUGUGGGAUGCUCCACAUCACAGUGCCACUGGAGGACGUCGGGAAAGUGGAAAGUUGGGCCCUGCGCACCAUCCGCUAGACUUGGAUGUACUGCCAAAGGACUGACGGACUCAAGGCCCCUCUUGUAGAACCUCGGGAUCGACACUAUGCAGAUCUAGCAUCCUUCGCUAGCCUUCGCAUAAUAUCGAUCCUAAGGCGCCACCUUCACACAACGAACACGUCAAAACAUGCACGCCAUGUGGUGGAACAGUCGACAUAACAACACAGAUAACGAAAAUAAUUUGCAACAACAACAAUUACAUAUACAACUCUGAGGAGUCAAAUGUAAUGAAUGAAAACAACAAGGGCCUUUCAACCAAGAUACAACUCGUACAACGGAAGCGAAUUGUACCUUAGACAGGUAAAGAAUACAAAUGCCUUAAGAAGGCUUAAACAAAAGCAAAGGGUGUCCAUAUCCCCGCCCAAACCACUAUGUGCGAUAACAAUCUAAUGUCGUCCAUCAACAAACCCACACAGAUAACGAAAAUAAUCCUCAACAACAAUAAUUACAUAUACAACAACUCUGAGGAGUCAAAUUUAAUGAAUGAACACAACAAGGCCUUUCAACCAAGAUACAACUCAUACAACGUAAGAGAAUUAUAACUUAGACAGGUAAAGAAUACAAAUGCCUUAAUAAGGCUUAAACAAAAGCAAAGGGUGUCCAUAUCCCUGCCCAAACCACUAUAUGUGCGAUAACCAGCAAACGUCGUUCAUCAACAGACCUGCUGCCUGAAUCGCUGCCAGCCAUCCAAGGAAAAAGGAGUAAAUUAAGCAAGGUGAAACUCAGCUGUACUUGCAAGACUUAGGCAACCCUAAGCUAGAAUAUGCAACAUGUUUCAAAGGAAGGGGUAAAGUUGUUUAGCGGCAAGCACAUACGCUACUCUAUUAGAGAUAAGAUGAGAGCGCGUAUAAAAAUAAAGAAGCGGAGCACUACUCAACUAUCCACCUGCCUAACCGCAAACAUAAUACAACCUUGUCUUCCCCCUCGCAUCUCCCAUGAGCGCAGGAUUCAGCCACCAGCGUCUCGCCAAUAUUUUGGUUACGGAUAGAACUUAGAGAGCUGAAGGGCCUUGGGCGAGCCAAAAUUUUGGAGCUUAUCCAAACAGAAACGUUCGUUCUUGUCAAUGCCUAUUUUUUGGUCGGGCAGCCCCUGGCUCUGAUCCAAGCGGAUCCUUAGUCCAAUAUACUACCAUUUGCUGACAUGACCUGUUGUUCAUUAUGUAAGGUUAGGAUUUUACUUGGUGAAUGACGUAAUUUUGGCUUUGUGACACUAGUCAUGAUCAGUUGAUCGGUUUAAGGCAUCUGUUUGUAAACAAACUGUCUGGGUUCACAUGUCACCUAGACUUUUUUAAUUCAUACCUCCCGUUAGUUUCCUUCUGCAAAAGAAAUUCUUUAUUUUAUGUCGAUGUACCUGCUAUGAGAUGUACAAAGAACAAAUAUAAUUCAGCGAAUAUUAGUUAUGAUAUCCCUAACAUGCAAGGACGUUCCGUAUUGUGUAGUUGCUAUAUUUGUUAGUGUAUUCUCUGUUAGAGUUAUAAUAUAAGUCAUGUACCCUUUUGUAUUUAUCCCAAUAUAUAAGGAGUUUCCUGCAUAUAGUCCAUCACCUGUACAUGUAUAUAUACCGGCCCAUGGCCUCAUGGGAAUACAAGUUGCUUAUUCCUAACAUGGUAUCAGAGCAUUAGGUCUUUUUUCGCACGCGCAACUCGUGCUUCGAUCCAAUCUCGUCUCCCUGCAGUCACCAUCCGUCUCGAUCUGGAGGCCGACUGGACGCCGUUCCUGUCCCGGCGCCCAGCCCCUGCUCGGUUCGGUCGCCUCAGGCCGACUCCUCCUGCCUCGAUCUCAUCUGGACGGUUGACGUCGCGAGCGGCAGUUCCCGAUCCAGUUCGGUCUUCUCCGGCGUCGUGAGCGGCAGUUCCCGAUCCAGUUCGGUUUUCUCCUGACUCCACCUGCCAGAUUCGGAUCCUGCAACCGCUGUUUUCGUUCCCGAUCUGGAGUCAAACCACGGGACAGGGAGCGGCAGUCACCUGAUCCAGUUCGGUCCCAUCUGGACUCCACCUGCCAGAUCCUGCCAUCGCUGAUCUUGUUACGGUGUUUUUGUUCCUGAUCUGGAGUCUAACCAGUCAGCCCUUGCACCGCUGGAUCAAUAAAAAGCAACCUGCUGAUCCUGUCGCCCAGAUUGCCACCAGCUCCCGAUCUCGUCGCCCCCCGCUGCUGAAUUCAUCGGAUUUCGCCGGAUUCUCCUGUCUCGAGGUGAUCUCCAAAAAAAAUAAAAAUAAAAAUAAAAAUAAAAAAAUGUCUGCUUUAUCCGGCUACGUUGCUGUUCCUCGUUGUCCGGUGAUCUUUGAUGGCACUAAUUACACCGAGUUAAUUGGCUUCAUGCGCAUUCACAUGCGUGGCAUCCGCCUAUGGGGUUUUCUUUGGCGAGGUCUGCUGUCUGCCAUGCCCGGUUCCUCCCGUGGCUCCCACUCCGCCGACCCCGCCGGCUCUUCCUGCGGAUGCUCCUCAGGCCGCAAAGGAUGCGGCAAAGCUUGCUGAUGAGGCCGCUAUCCGUGCUUAUGAUGAGAAGGUUUUGGCUUAUGAGGAGGCUCUUCAGACGUAUCAUGGUGCUUUGUCUGCUUACACCCAGUGGCUUGAUGAUGCUCGUGCUACAGCUGUUCUCACUGCUAGCGUUCUGCCUCAGUUUGCCUCUGAGUUUCUGGGCCUUCCUAUUGUGUUUGAGAUGUGGACUCGCCUUCGUCAGCGCUAUGAGCCCUCGGGUGAUGCCUUAUACCUCUCUAUGGUCCAUCAGGAGCAUGCUCUUCAGCAGGGUAACUCUACUGUUGAUGACUUCUAUGCACAGAGUUCUGCUAUCUGGCGCCAGCUUGAUUCUCUCCGCAGUGCUGGUUGUCGUACUUGCCCCUGUUGCCAGUUUGUCCAGGCCGAUUUGGAGUUUCAUCGCGUCUACGAGUUCCUGUCUCGGCUCCGUAAGGAGUUUGAGCCCCGGCGUGCUCAGUUGUUUGCUCGUGGCCGUAUCUCUCUCAUGGAGGCGCUUUCUGAGAUUCGUGCUGAGGAGACUCGCUUACGUGGUGUUGGUUUGCUGGAGGUUCCCUCGGUACUCGCUGCUCGGGCUACUUCUAAGCCAUCUGCUGCACCGACCCCUUCUCGCUCGAGUGCUCCGCCGCUCUUGCCCACACCUUCUGGAGGCUCAGGUCGCCCCCGUCCACAUUGUGGCUACUGCAACAAUGAUGGUCAUAUUGAGUCCAACUUCUACACGAAGAAGAAACACUUGUGCAAGGCGCGCUCAUCAUCUACAGAGACCUCGUCAUCUACCUCGACAGCUUCAGCCAUCGCUUUGGUUGAGCACGAUAUUUUGAGACUUAAGCGUCUGCUCCCUGCUUCGGGUUCUUCCUCGACGGGUACUGCUGGUUCUGUGACUGAGGCUUCCCGCACUGAGCAACCACCUUCUACACAGUCAGGUACAUCCCCAUGGGUUUUGGACUCUGGAGCUUCCUUUCAUAUGACUUCUAAUUCUUCCACUCUGUCCUCUCUUCGAUCGCUUGAUUCUCCUGCUCAUGUCCUCACCGCUGAUGGUACUCCCCUUUCUGUCGUUAGUAGAGGCAAUCUUACCACUCCUUAUUGUGUUCCUGAUGUUGCUCAUGUUCCUCGACUUACCAUGAAUCUGUUUUCCGCUGGUCAACUUGCUGAUUCUGGUUGUCGUGUCAUUCUUGACCUUGAAUCUUGUUCUGUCCAGGACCGUCGCACGCACACUCUUGUUGGGGCUGGUCCUCGCUAUCGUGAUUCUGAGGGUCUUUGGGAGUUGGACUGGCUUCAUGUUCCUUUCGCUGCUCACUCUAUCGCCAGUUCUUCCGCUUUGGUCGCCUCGGCUACUGGUUCCUUCCAGCAGUGGCAUCAUCGACUUGGUCAUCUGUGUGGUUCUCGUUUGUCGUCAUUAGUUCGUCGAGGUCUUCUGGGGUCUGUCUCAGGAGAUGCCUCUUUAGAGUGUCAGGGUUGUCGUCUUGGCAAGCAGAUUCAGUUACCAUAUCCACAUAGUGAGUCAGUGUCUAAGCGUCCUUUUGAUUUAGUUCAUUCUGAUGUAUGGGGUCCGGCUCCCUUCGCUUCGAAAGGGGUCAUAAAUACUAUAUUAUUUUCAUAGAUGACUUCUCUCGUUACACAUGGCUUUAUUUCAUGACUUCUCGUAGUGAGGUGUUGUCCAUUUAUAAGUGUUUUGCUGCCAUGGUUCAUACUCAGUUCUCUUCUCCCAUUCGUGUGUUCCGUGCUGACUCCGCUGGCGAGUAUAUCUCUAAGAUGUUGCGUGGUGUUCUUGCUGAGCAAGGGACUCUUUCUCAAUUCUCAUGUCCCGGUGCUCACGCUCAGAAUGGCGUGGCUGAGCGCAAGCAUCGUCAUCUUCUUGAGACAGCUCGUGCAUUGAUGAUUGCUGCCUCUCUCCCGCCUCAUUUUUGGCUAAGGCCGUCUCCAGCUCCACCUAUCUCAUCAAUUUCCAGCCUUCCGCUGCUCUACAUGGUGGUGUUCCUUUCGAGCGUCUUUUUGAUCGAUCUCCCGAUUAUUCGAUGCUUCGCUUGUUUGGUUGUGUUUGUUAUGUUCUUCUUGGCCCCCGCUAACGCACCAAACUGAUCGCUUAGUCUGUUGAGUGUGUCUUCUUAGGCUAUAGUGAUGAGCAUAAGGGCUAUCGUUGUUGGGAUCCUAUCGGUCGUCGGAUGCGUAUCUCUCGAGAUGUGACUUUCGAUGAGUCUCGUCCCUUCUACCCACGCCCAUCUUCCUCGACAUUUUCAGUGGAGGAUAUCUCUUUCCUUACAUUUCCUGACACACCUAUCACACCCGUCGAGCCUUUGCCUAUUCGUUCCCCUCCCUCUACUUCUCCACCUCCAGUCCAUUUGUCGCCACCAUCUUCCACGGUCUCCUCGUCUAGCAUGUCACCUGAUUCUACACCUUCAUCUCCGGUGACUUUUUUGUCGCCACUCCCCGAUUCUACCUUGGCGAUUCCUCCUUCCAUUGUUCCGUCUUUUCCUCAGUGUUACACUCGUCGUUCACGUUCUGUGGAUGCCUCUGUGGAUGUGUCGUCAUCCUCGUCGCAGCCUACUUAUGGCUUGCGUUCUCGUCCUCGUCCGCCUGUUGAUCGUUUUGGAUUUUCCACCGCUGGUGCUGCUGUUCUUGAGCCGACUACUUAUCAUCAGGCUGUUGUUCAUCCUGAAUGGCAGUUUGCGAUGGCAGAGGAGAUUGCUGCUCUUGAACGCACUGGUGUGUGGGAUCUUGUUUCCCUUCCUCCCGGAGUCCGUCCCAUCACUUGUAAGUGGGUCUACAAGGUUAAGACUCGCUCCGAUGGUUCUCUUGAGCGUCACAAAGCCCGUUUUGUGGCUCGUGGUUUUCAGCAGGAGCAUGGUCGUGAUUAUGACGAGACUUUUGCUCCUGUGGCUCAUAUGACCACUGUUCGUACACUUCUUGCCGUGGCCUCUACAAGCCACUGGUCUAUCUCUCAGCUUGAUGUUAAGAAUGCUUUUCUUAAUGGUGAGCUGCGUGAGGAGGUGUACAUGCAGCCACCACCUGGGUAUUCUGUUCCUGAUGGCAAUGGUAUGUCGUCUUCGUCGCUCUCUCUAUGGGCUUAAGCAAGCCCCCCGCGCCUGGUUUGAGCGUUUUGCCUCUGUGGUGACUGCCGCUGGUUUUUCACCCAGUGUUCAUGAUCCAGCAUUGUUUAUUCACCUUUCUCCUCGUGGUCGGACUCUUCUUCUUCUCUAUGUUGAUGACAUAGUCAUCACUGGGGAUGACCCCGAGUAUAUUGCCCUUGUCAAGGCCCGCCUUAGUGAGCAGUUCCUUAUGUCUGAUCUUGGACCUCUUCGUUACUUUCUUGGGAUUGAAGUCUCUUCUACCUCUGAUGGCUUCUUUAUAUCCCAGGAAAAGUAUAUCCAGGAUUUUCUUGCUCGUGCUGCUCUUACUGAUGAGCGCAUUGUUGAGACUCCUAUGGAGCUCAAUGUUCACCUCUCUGCUACUGAUGGUGAUCCCCUGCCUGACCCGACGCGUUAUCGUCAUCUUGUUGGCAGUCUUGUUUAUCUAGCUGUCACUCGUCCGGAUAUCUUUUAUCCGGUUCAUAUUCUGAGUCAGUUCGUCUCUGCUCCCACAUCGGUUCACUAUAGUCAUCUCCUCCCUGUUCUCCGAUAUCUUCGGGGCACGAUCUCUCACCGUCUAUUCUUUCCUCGCUCCAGUUCUUUACAGCUUCAGGCCUAUUCGUAUGCUACGUGGGCUAGUGAUCCUUCAGAUCGCCGUUCACUUUCUGCUUACUGUGUUUUUCUUGGUGGUUCUCUCAUUGCCUGGAAGACGAAGAAACAGGUUGCAGUUUCCCGUUCGAGUGCAGAGGCUGAGUUGCGAGCGAUGGCUCUUUUGACGGCAGAGGUGACUUGGUUACUGUGGUUACUUCAGGAUUUUGGUGUUUCUGUCACUACACCGACUCUGCUCUUAUCUGACAGUACAAGUGCUAUUAGCAUUGCGCGCGAUCCUGUGAAGCAUGAGCUCACCAAGCAUAUUGGUGUUGAUGCUUUCUAUGUGCGCGCUGCUGUGCAGGAUCAGGUUGUUGCUCUUCAGUAUGUGCCUUCCGAGUUACAGUUGGCGGAUUUCCUGACGAAGGCCCAGACUAGAGCACAACAUGGCUUUUAUCUCUCCAAACUCAGCGUUGUUCAUCCACCAUGAGUUUGAGGGGGGGGGGGUGUUAGAGUUAUAAUAUAAGUCAUGCAUCCUUUUGUAUUUAUCCCAAUAUAUAAGGGGUUUUCUGCAUAUAGUCCAUCACCUGUACAUGUAUAUAUACCGGCCUAUGGCCUCAUGGGAAUACAAGUUGCUUAUUCCUAACAUUCUCAACUUACUAUGUUUCUGAAUUGGAACAGCGAAUCAGGAUAGACGAGAUCAGAAAGGAUGAAUGGUUUAAGAAAAAUUAUGAACCUGUCAGAGAAGUAGAAAAUGAAGAAGUCAAUCUUGAUGAUGUUAAUGCAGCUUUUGAUGAUCCUGAGG
rnacentral:lncRNA from 1 species